rnacentral:rRNA from 1 species
UACGGAGGGGGCUAGCGUUGUUCGGAAUUACUGGGCGUAAAGCGCACGUAGGCGGCUUUGUAAGUUAGAGGUGAAAGCCCGGGGCUCAACUCCGGAAUUGCCUUUAAGACUGCAUCGCUAGAAUUGUGGAGAGGUGAGUGGAAUUCCGAGUGUAGAGGUGAAAUUCGUAGAUAUUCGGAAGAACACCAGUGGCGAAGGCGACUCACUGGACACGUAUUGACGCUGAGGUGCGAAAGCGUGGGGAGCAAAC